AGCUCCCAGAUAGCACGAGUCUCUCCUUCUUCCUCAGGCCCUCAGCCGUAGGUACGUCUCUGCCUCUGCCUCACAGAUCUCUCUGUGACCAAGCCACCAUGUAGGAAAGUUCCUGGAGGAAACAAACAUUUACGGACCUCACAGUUCGGGGUUAGCUGGAUCAUUUCUUGGAAGAUUUCUGAUCUGUAACAGAAGACAUAGCAGAGUCUUGCUUUUUAGUCCCCACCUCUGUCCCUGGCUCCUCACCUGCAUGUGCUAGUUACACAACAAAUGGCUUUUUUUUUUUUCUUUAUACUCACAUGCAGUGAAUUUUAGUUCGUAUCCUAAUUGUUUGGAUUUUUUUUUUUAACAAAUGCUUUUUAGACGGCAAAUGUUAAAAUGAAUUUUGCCAAUGCCCCAUGCUUCUCUUCCCACUCAGUUCACAGAAAGCAAGUUUGGGCCUGCCUCUGAUCUCUUGCAGCAGCAAGCUAAUCUCCAAGAUGACCUCACUGCAGAACUGUGUUUUAUAAUCAGCUAGCAAAUCUCAGCAUGAACCAAGAGCAAAGGUUAGAAAGACAAUAAAAAUACAAACAAGCCAGGAUUGUACAAGUCAGGUUAGUUCAGAGAACCAGCUGGACCUAUGAUUAAAUUUUAAUUAAAAAAAGAAACAAAAAACCAACAACUAUAGGAGGAGAAGCCUUCCCAGCAGAUAAGAAUCCUUUUCAGAAGAAGAGCAAGACCUUUUUCUUAUUAACAAAUGGAGAUGUUGUAGUUCCUGAGAUAAUAAACAAAGGAAAAGGAUUUGAAAAUUCA